AAUAUAUGAUAUAUGAAUGUAUGAAUAUAGGAAUAUAGGAAUGAAUUAUGUUUGAUGAUUCUAUGAAUAGAUGGAAGAAGGAUUAAACUUGUCGUAUUUGGAGGGUGAAAAUAUAGAUGAUGAUGUGGUUGGUGUUGACUUUAAAAUAGUCGCAAUGCUACAUCAACAUGUACAGAAAACCACGUCUAUGGCUGCAGUAACAAUGUUAUGCAUUGUUUCGUAUGCCUUGAACAUAUUGAAUUUGUUAUCGAGUGAUCCAAGUAGUGAUAGCAAUUUCCUUCCCGAC
rnacentral:lncRNA from 1 species